CCUACGGGAGGCAGCAGUGGGGAAUAUUGGACAAUGGGGGGAACCCUGAUCCAGCCAUGCCGCGUGUGUGAAGAAGGCCCUCGGGUUGUAAAGCACUUUCAGUGAGGAAGAACGCCUGGUGGUUAAUACCCAUCAGGAAAGACAUCACUCACAGAAGAAGCACCGGCUAACUCCGUGCCAGCAGCCGCGGUAAUACGGAGGGUGCGAGCGUUAAUCGGAAUUACUGGGCGUAAAGCGCGCGUAGGUGGCUUGAUAAGCCGGUUGUGAAAGCCCCGGGCUCAACCUGGGAACGGCAUCCGGAACUGUCAAGCUAGAGUGCAGGCGAGGAAGGUAGAAUUCCCGGUGUAGCGGGGAAAUGCGUAGAGAUCGGGAGGAAUAACAGUGGCGAAGGCGGCCUUCUGGACUGACACUGCCACUGAGGUGCGAAAGCGUGGGUAGCAAACAGGAUAAGCUACCCGAGUAGGA
rnacentral:rRNA from 1 species